rnacentral:misc_RNA from 1 species
UCAGAACUGAAACCAUGCUCAUCGCAUAGAACAUGAUAGUGUGUGGGCUUGCUUGUCCCAAGGCUUCCAUAGUGGCUAAAAAAAUAAAAAUCAAACUCAAAUGGAUGCACAAUUUUCGUGUCCACAACUGUGCCAGGAGACACAUUCCCAUUUGAGCUCCCACUACUCCUGUUUCCAGGAAACAAACGAGUCUGGUGCCGCUUUUGGGCCACAAUAAGUGUAAUAGUUGGGGCAUAAUUGCUUGAUUUAAAUGCUCUCCUUAGAUCUGUCAACUCUUCAUUGAGAACCAUAUCAAACUGGCCCUCACUUACACCAUCUCGGAAUAUUACAAUAUUCCCUGGUUUGACUCUAUUCAGCCGAACAUAAGUUUCCACAAGCUCAAAACACAUAUCUCCAAAAUUCAGAAUCUUCUCCUUACGAUGAUACUGUGGACGAACGCGAGCUGCAUAGCGGUUUGCAGCAGGCCAAUUUACAGUAGCAACAACAGCAGCUAUAGAUGGACUUGUUUUGUUCCGGGCGCCAGGAUGGUUAACAUCAGCCCCAAUAAACAUAACAUGGCCUUCACCUUCAAAAAAUGGAAGUCGAUCAAUAAGCUCGACAUUGCUACCUCCAAGUUUUGCAUUGAUCUUCAGAGCAAGAUUAGCAAAGUACUGGUCAUUCCCAUUGUUGACAUGAUCAGACAAGCAACACUGAGUCACUACACCAACUCUUGUCUCAGAAACCCACUUAAGAUACUUGUAACCAGAAUCCUUCCUAGACAUCACACAAAUAAUAAUUUGCAACUGGCCCCUGCAAAUCUUAUAAGCACGAUCAUUAACAACUUCAAGAAGAUCACGAAGCAAAUCAGCACUUGAGAAUUUAUGCAUAUUAGCAGGAUGACAAAAGAGAGGCUCUUUCAUAGAGAUCCCCAGAUUCUCACACCGAGCUCUAAGCUUUGGAAUGAAUUGCUCUGGCCUUAAUUUGUAACGACCACGUUCAGAGGAACUAAAGUCAAUC